AAUUUUUGACAAUGGGGGCAACCCUGAUCCAGCCAUCCCGCGUGUGCGAUGAAGGCCUUCGGGUCGUAAAGUUCUGUCCUCAGGGAAGAAUAAAUGACGGUACAUGAGGAGUAAGCCCCGGCUAACUACGUGCCACCAGCCGCGGUAAUACGUAGGGGGCAAGCGUUGUCCGGAAUUAUUGGGCGUAAAGGGUGCGUAGGCGGCCUUUUAAGUCAGAUGUGAAAGACCACAGCUUAACUGUGGGAUUGCAUUUGAAACUGAAGGGCUUGAGUGUCGGAGAGGAUAGUGGAAUUCCCGGAGUAGCGGCGAAAUGCGUAGAUAUCGGGAGGAACACCAGUGGCGAAGGCGACUACCUGGACGACAACUGACGCUGAGGCACGAAAGCUAGGGGAGCAAAC
rnacentral:rRNA from 1 species